rnacentral:rRNA from 1 species
AGGACGACGGCUGGCGGCGUGCUUAACACAUGCAAGUCGAACGGAGCCUAGCGAAAGAAUUAUCUUUUGCGAAAGCUUAGUGGCGGACGGGUGAGUAACGCGUGGGCAACCUACCCUGUACAGGGGGACAACACCGGGAAACCGGUGCUAAUACCGCAUAAAGCCAAACAGCAGCAUUGCAGUAUGGCCAAAGGAGAAAUCCGGUACAGGAUGGGCCCGCGUCCGAUUAGCUAGUUGGUAGGGUAAAGGCCUACCAAGGCGACGAUCGGUAGCCGGACUGAGAGGUUGAACGGCCACAUUGGGACUGAGACACGGCCCAGACUCCUACGGGAGGCAGCAGUGGGGAAUAUUGCGCAAUGGGGGGAACCCUGACGCAGCAACGCCGCGUGAAGGAAGAAGGUUUUCGGAUCGUAAACUUCUUUGAUUGGGGACGAAAGAAAUGACGGUACCCAAAAAACAAGCCACGGCUAACUACGUG